UUGCCUAAUGAAUUGACUGAUUGGUCACGCACCUCCAGGUAUGGCACUAUCCUGCAGGACAGAUCUCCCAUCAGUCUCCUCUUGGUCAGCUCGUUGAAGGUGAUCACCGGCAGACAGAAGAACAGCACUGUGAAGUCCCAGAAGGCCAGGCUGGCCAGCGCGCAGUUCCACGUGCUCUUCAGGCUGGACUGACGGGAACAUGUUCGAUUUCUUUGUAAACUGAUCGACUCUACCUGCAAACUUCUCCCUGAUCUCAUUUUAGCAACAUUAAAAAAAUAAAAUAAAAUGAAUACUC